rnacentral:lncRNA from 1 species
UUCAAAAAAGAGAGUUAAACGUCCGACCUCUGCAUUGACAGGUGCACCCAACCCUCAGUUAAUCAUUGCGAAGUUUACAACCAUCCAACAAGUCUAAAUGGUAAAAAAAAAAGGAAUUGACUAAAAAAAUAAGCAACAACACAAUUCGUGUGGAUUGAGAAUUAACUCGCAUCCAUCCCACAAACCGGAUGAAAAAACGUUGCAUGCUAUGCAUCAGCCUGGCAUUUAUGAUAAGCUUGUACAACAUAUUUUAGCAGCAACUUCUUUACUGAUGGGCACAACUAUGGUAUAUAUAGAGGGGCAUAAAUAAUACUCCCUCCGUUCGGAAUUACUUGUUUCAGAUAUGGAUGUAUCUAGAACUAAAAUACAUCUAGAUACAUUCAUUUCCGCGACAAGUAAUUCCGAACGGAGGGAGCAUGAGACAUUAAAAAGCAAGUGGAGGUGAUAGAUAGCUCCACUCUUAUACAAAUCACAUGUUUCCAGAGUAGAUACAACCUCAUAGUGCUCAAAUAAAACAGUCAAACAGAAAACAACAAUCCUCUGAAGGUCUGCAACUGUGGUACUUGUGGACGCUUAGUGUAGAAUAGCUAAAUAAUUGCCUCACCUGAUGGUCUUCUUUGGCGAUGAUUAGAAACAGAGAGCCACAGAUGCAUAUACGGGGCAUAUCUCUUUGUCUCACCUGCAAAAAUUGUUGAGAGCAACUUCAGUGCAUGCAAACCUCGCUAGAAGCAAAAGUUUAGUGCAUUUGAAUUCUGAACUCUGAACUGAAGAAAGUUGUACAUGCAAUCAACUGAAACCGGGUGAACAAUCAGUUUGUCAGUUAUCAUGAGUCAUUUACGUGCUAAUGCUUCUUUUCACUCUGCAUAAAGCAAUAUACGAUGGUUUUGUAAAACUUGGUCUGCUGUAAUGCUCAUGCAAGUGUAAGCGGUUCAGUUAGAAUGGAUGUCUGAAUAUGUAGCCUAGUGUGGUAUCUAAAGUUUGGUACAGCGAAAUUAAUCUUAACAAUUACCAAGAUUGAUUCAUUUAUAUAGACGAACAACGUUAUUUUAGCUUGCAAGGACAGCCUAUGACCGUUUGUACACAAAUAUCAAUCCGCAGGAAGGGAGCAAAAUAAAAAAGGAAUCAUAAAGUAAUCUUGCAGAUGGAAACACAGAGUUCACCCACACAAACACGCAAAACAAAAGAGUUGCAGGGAUUUGAUGAUAGGGUCCUGGCCAGGAGGGGUUGCUACGUAGACUUGUGUAUACGUGUUGUACUUGUACUUGUACCCUUUGGUACUUAUAUAUAAUGAGAUAGCCGCACCCCCCAAGGGUGUCGAGCAGUUGCCCUAAUAUUCUAGUCUUACAUGGUAUCAGACUAGGGUUCCCGUCUUCCGCUGCACCCCUUGCUGCCGCUGCCGCCUCCGCCGAUCGCUGCCGCCGCCUAGCCCGAUGGCCUCCGCGCACUCCGCCGCCGCCUCGGCUUCCUCUCCUGCUGGCGCGCCCGUCGCUCCCUCGUCGUCCUUCCUCGCAUCCCCCCCCCCCCGCUCGCCCCGCUGAAAGCCAUCUGCAGGGCGGGCAGGGCGGGCAGGAGCAGGGCGGGCCGAGCCUGCCCCAGCCGCCGAUCGCCACUGGUGGCGCCUCACCCUCGACCUUCGCCUUCGCGCCGCCACCCUCUCGCGGCGCUGCACCGUCCGCCUACGGGGCGGCUCCGCAACCCUAUGGAGCCCCUCCGCCCUACUAUGGCACUACCCCGACCUACGCUCCAUGGUACGGCGCCCCUGCACCAACCUACGGCGCCGCACCACCGAUGCCUUCUACCUGGCCGAUGCCUCCGCCGUCAUAGAUAGCGCCGUCACCCUAUGGCGCGGCCUACGGCGCCGCGCCCGCCGUGUCUUCGGUGGCCACGCCUGGUCCGGUCGAUGCCCCUUCCGGUCCUGGCUACGAGGUGUCCUUGGCCCCCGCUCCCCAUGAUGGGCAGAACAUGGGUCCCCAUGCGGGUUAUGCUCCGGCGCCAUCGCCGUUCUACUUCUCGCAUCUUCUUCCGGUGAAGCUUACACCGGACAACUACCUAUCCUGGCGGGCGCAGGUGCUACCUCUCCUACGGAGUCGCUACUUGGAGGGCUAUGUUGAUGGCUCUAUCCCGUGUCCGCCGCCGUAUCACCCGGCUCAUCAUGUGUGGGUGGCCCAAGACCAGGCGAUACUUUCGGCCAUCCAGUCCUCGCUGACUCCGAGCGUGUCGUCGCUUGUCAUCUUCGCCGCGACAUCCCGGGAGGCUUGGUCUGCACUUCACAGCAGUUUUGCCUCUCAGUCUCAGGCGCGUGCUCACUCUAUCCGCACUGAGUUGGGGGAGACCAAGCUUGGAGGCCUCACCAUCACGGAGUACUUCAACAAGAUGUCAGAACUUGCAGACACGCUGGCCUCCAUUGGCCAGCCCCUUGGAGAUGAGGACUUCACCACUCAUGUGCUCAAUGGCCUCGAUGAUGACUAUGACAAUCUCAUUGAGAACGUCCAUGGGCGCGAGGCGCCUCUCCUGCCACGGGAACUGUAUGCGCGGCUCCUUGGUCGCGAACAGCGCAUCAAAGCGCGUCGAUCUACUCCGAGUUUUGCCUCUGCUAACGCCGCCACCCGUGGCAAAUCGCAGAAGCCGUCGCUCCCUGCCAAGCCGGCGGGCACAUCUCAGCCCUCACGGGGCGCCGCGCCCUCCAUCACAGGGGGAUCGCGGCCGGUGGCUUGCUGUCCCAGUUGUGGUGCUCAGCAGGCGUGCCAGCUGUGUGGGAUUUAGCGCCACGUAGCUUCUCGCUGUCAUCGCCGCUACAAGCAAGAUUUCCUUGGCCUCGGCAACAAUGGCAAGGGGAAUGAAAAACAGGCGGCCACUGCGGUGGUGGGUCAUGAGCACGGGCAUACUCCAUCCUACUCGAUUGAUCCCUCAUGGUACAUGGACACGGGAGCUACCAACCACCUCACCAACGACAUGAGCAAGCUCUCGGUCCAGGAGCCAUAUUGCGGUCAUGAUCAGGUGCACACCGCUAACGGAGCAGGUAUGCACAUCUCCCAUGUUGGUCAGGCAUCCCUUCUUGCACACAAUUCACGAAAACUGCAUUUGUCUAACAUCCUUCGUAUUCCCACUGCUUCGCGUAGUUUGUUGUCUGUUCCACAACUUACUCGUGACAAUAAUGUCCUUGCUGAAUUUCACCAUUUUCGUUUCUUUAUCAAGGAUCGGGACACGAGGGCCGUUCUGCUUAGCGGUCGUCUUCGCCGUGGCUUGUAUGCACUUGACGCGCCAACUGCACCUCCCAUGCAGUUUUCUCCUCAGGCGUUCAGUGGUGUUCGUGUCUCGCCUACACAUUGGCACGCGCGACUUGGUCAUCCUGCCACUCCCAUAGUCCGUCAUGUGUUGCAUCGUCAUGAGCUACCAGUUGUGUCAAAUAAAACUGCUGAAACUAUUUGUGAUGCCUGUCAGUAGGGCAAGAGUCACCAACUCCCGUUUUCAGAGUCUAGUCGUGUUGUGAAACAUCCUCUUGAGCUUAUUUUUUCCGAUGUAUGGGGUCAUGCCCAAACGUCGGUUAGUGGCCAUAAUUAUUAUGUCAGUUUCAUUGAUGCUUACAGUCGGUUUACCUGGCUCUAUCUUAUUAAGAAAAAAUCUGAUGUGUUUGAUGUGUUUAUCCAGUUUCAAGCACAUGUUGAGCGUCUCCUUCGCCAGAAAAUUAUUCAUGUCCAAAGCGACUCGGGGGGUGAAUACCACAACCUCAACUCAUUCUUUAACAAGCUUGGGAUUACACACCGUGUGUCUUGCCCCCAUACGCAUCAGCAGAAUGGGACUUCCGAACGUAAGCAUCGUCACCUUGUAGAAACUGGCAUCACUUUGUUAGCUCAUGCCUCCGUACCUUUUAGGUUCUGGAGUGAUGCUUUCUCCACUGCCUGUUUUUUGAUCAAUAGGCUUCCUUCACGACUACUGAAUAUGAAAACCCCACUUGAACUCUUGCUCAAUGAAAUCCCAGACUACACCUUUCUCAAAGUCUUCGGGUGUGCCUGUUGGCCUCAUUUGCGUCCAUAUAAUAAACAUAAGCUAGAGUUUCGGUCGAAAAAGUGCAUUUUUCUUGGGUAUAGUUCCCUUCACAAAGGGUAUAAAUGCCUACAUGUUCCCACCAAUCGCGUUUACAUUUCUCGUGACAUUGUUUUUGAUGAGAAUGUGUUUCCCUUUCGUGCACUUCCGAAUACCUCUAUCACUCUUAUGCCAGACGCUUCUUCUACCACACCUCUGCCUGAUCAAUUUGUGGAUGUUGCAUAUGCUCCUGUGUUGCUCCCUAACCAUGCUGCAGGUGUUGGCCGUGGCGCUCGUCUCGAGCUCCUUGAAGAACAAGCACCGGCGCGUCCGGAGGACGAUCGCGUGCAUGGGGCAUGCAUAUCGGGCGGCACACCGCAACCCGCAAGAGCUGCGCCCGCGGCUGCCUCGCGGGCAUCGCCCGACCCCGCUCCGCGAGCGGCGUCCUCUCCCGCCUCGUGGGAGUUGCCCGAGCUGGCCUCGCAGGAGGUUGCUCCUGGACCAGCCACGCCAGGCUCGCCUGGGCCGGCUUCGGCUCCCGAUGGGCCGGCCACCCCAGGCUCGCCUGCUUCUUCGGCGCUCAGCGGCUCCGGUGUGGGCCUGGGCGACGUGGCCGUGUCGGGCGCCACACCGUCCGCCUCCCCGACGCCCAGUGGCUCCGGCACGAGCCCUGGCGGCUCGGGGUCGCCUUCUUCGUCGCCUGCAUCAUGCCCUGCGUCGUCACCACAACCUGUUGCUCCUCGACAUCGCACGCGCAGUCAGACCGGUGUCUUUCAGCCUAAGAUCCGGACCGAUGGGACUGUUGCGUGGCUCGCCGCGUGCAUGGCUCAUGCUGCUGCGGAUCCCACUGCUGAGCCUCGCCACUUUCAGGCUGCACUAGGCAUUCCCCACUGGCGUGCCGCGAUGGAACAGGAGUUUCAAGCAUUGCUGAAGAAUGACACCUGGCAGCUUGUUCCUCCAGUGUCUGGGGUCAAUAUCAUUGACUCUAGAUGGGUGUUUAAAGUUAAACGGCAUGCUGAUGGCUCCAUUGAGCGUUACAAGGCAAGGUUAGUGGCUAAGGGCUUCGAACAGAGGUAUGGUCUUGACUAUGAAGACAUGUUCAGUCCAGUUAUCAAGCCUACUACCAUUCGUCUGGUACUAUCCCUUGCUGUUACUCGAGGAUGGUUUCUCCGUCAGCUUGAUGUGCAGAACGCUUUUUUGCAUGGAGUUCUGGAGGAGGAGGUUUAUAUGCGUCAGCCACCAGGGUUUGUGGAUCCUGCACGUCCUAAUCAUCUCUGUCGUCUUUUUAAGGCGCUCUAUGGUCUUAAGCAGGCUCCUCGUGCCUGGCAUGCACGUCUUGGUUCGGUUUUGCGAGCACUUGGGUUCAUUCCUUCUACUGCUGACACAUCACUGUUCCUUCUUCAACGCCCUGAGGUUACGAUGUAUUUACUGGUCUAUGUUGAUGAUAUUAUUCUCAUCAGUUCCUCAGAUGUUGCGGCGGACCGCCUUGUGGCUGCAUUGAGUGGUGAUUUUGCUGUUAAGGAUCUCGGUGCUCUGCACUUCUUCCUUGGUCUGGAGGUGUCACGGUCUUCUGCUGGAGUCACUCUUACUCAGAAGAAGUACGCUCUGGAUUUGUUGCGUCGUGCUGGUAUGCUGCAGUGUAAACCUGUUGCUACUCCUAUGUUUGUCACUGAUCGGUUGUCUGCUUUUGAUGGUGACCCUCUCUCCUCUGAUGAUGCCACUGAGUACCGCAGUCUUGUUGAAGGCCUGCAGUAUCUUACUAUCACCAGACCAGAUGUCUCUUAUGCAGUCAAUCGUGUCUGUCAGUUUCUUCAUGCGCCCACGACAUCCCAUUGGUCCGCUGUGAAGCGCAUUCUGCGAUAUAUAUGCCUCACUGCAUCUCAUGGUUUGCUUCUCCAGCGUGCGCCGUCCUAUGAGAUCUCGGCCUUCUCUGAUGCUGANNNNNNNNNNNNNNNNNNNNNNNNNNNNNNNNNNNNNNNNNNNNNNNNNNNNNNNNNNNNNNNNNNNNNNNNNNNNNNNNNNNNNNNNNNNNNNNNNNNNNNNNNNNNNNNNNNNNNNNNNNNNNNNNNNNNNNNNNNNNNNNNNNNNNNNNNNNNNNNNNNNNNNNNNNNNNNNNNNNNNNNNNNNNNNNNNNNNNNNNNNNNNNNNNNNNNNNNNNNNNNNNNNNNNNNNNNNNNNNUGUUUCUUGGUCCCAACUUGAUUGCUUGGAAUGCUCGCAAGCAGGCUACGGUGUCUCGCAGCAGCACAGAAGCCGAGUACAAAGCAGUUGCUGAUGCGACAGCUGAGAUCAUUUGGGUUCAGUCCUUGCUGAGGGAGUUGCGAGUUCCUUCAGUUCACCCUCCAGUGCUUUGGUGUGAUGACAUUGGUGCUACAUACUUAUCAUCUAACCCAGUGUUUCAUGCUCGAACAAAACAUAUUGAGGUUGACUAUCACUUUGUUCGAGAGCGUGUUGCACAGAAGCUGCUUAGCAUCAAGUUUAUAUCAUCAAAGGAUCAACUUGCUGACAUCUUCACGAAGCCUCUUUCACAACCACAGUUUGUAGGCUGCAGGCGCAAUCUUAACUUAGUUUGUACUUCAGGCCACAGUUAAGAUUGAGGAAGGGUGUUAGACUAUAUAUGAAUACGUAGACUUGUGUAUACGUGUUGUACUUGUACUUAUACCCUUUGGUACUUAUAUAUAAUGAGAUAGCCGCACCCCCAAGGGUGUCGAGCAGUUGCCCUAAUAUUCUAGUCUUACAGUUGCAUCUUUGGUGGGGAAAGGAAACAGAGUAUGGAAUGCACCCAGGCCCGUCGCCGACGAACGAGCACAGCCAAUCCGCACGAACGCACAUCGCAGCAAGACAGAAACCCCAGGCACCCGAGUCCAGCUGCCAACGCGUGGGAAGCACACAUACAAGAUAGAACAAUAACCAGACAUCAGAAAUUAAAGAACAGAAGAAGAGCAAUCCUCGGAAUUAACAGGAAGGAGAAAAGACCAUGUGAAGCAGCGGAACCCGACGGCUGAAGGGACGGAUGCCGCUGGCAACCACCACGAGCUACCUCGCGCAGCUGCGCUUCGGCCGCUUCCGCGGCGCCGACACCGAGAUGCGAAGCAGCGACGGC